CAGAGUAUUGCAUAUUCUCUAAAUCUAACACAAAAAUUCUCAAUUUUUUUUUUGGCAAAUUGAGCGUUAUCAGCUGCGUUGCGUCUGUAAAGCUAUUUAUUUAUACGCCAACCAGAUAAGACGACAGUCGUAUAAUUCCAGCAGCAUCUGCAUCAUCGAAAAUUGUACAAAAAAAAGAAAUAAAAACGCAAUUUCAACAUGAAUUACAACGGUUUACUAAUUUUAACUGUUAUCCUGUUGGCUGUCAAUGCGGAUGUGGCCAACGCUGAUCUAUGGGACAGUAUUAAGGAUACCUUUAACGAUGCUGUCGACGCAGUCAAAGAUUUGUUCUCCUAAGCGAGCAAGCCAAAUGAAUUGAAUUGAAUGGAAUUGAAUUGUAAAGUGAAUGUUUUUGUUAUGGCAAUAAAUCAAAUGUAAAUUUCU